CCUACGGGUGGCAGCAGUGAGGAAUAUUGGUCAAUGGACGAGAGUCUGAACCAGCCAAGUAGCGUGAAGGAUGACUGCCCUAUGGGUUGGAAACUUCUUUUAUAUGGGAAUAAAAUGUUACACGUGGGGGAUUUUGUAUGUACCAUAUGAAUAAGGAUCGGCUAACUCCGUGCCAACAGCCGCGGUAAUACGGAGGAUCCGCGCGUUAGCCGGAUUUAGUGGGUGUAAAGGGGGCGUAGGUGGAUUGUUAAGUCAGUUGUGAAAGUUUGCGGCUCAACCGUAAAAUUGCAGUUGAAACUGGCAGUCUUGAGUACAGUAGAGGUGGGCGGAAUUCGUGGUGUAGCGGUGAAAUGCUUAGAUAUCACGAAGAACUCCGAUUGCGAAGGCAGUUCACUGGACUGCAACUGACACUGAGGCUCGAAAGUGUGGGUAUCAAACAGGAUUAGAUACCCUUGUAGUC
rnacentral:rRNA from 1 species